AACGAACGUUAGCGGCGCGCUUAACACAUGCAAGUCGAGCGAGAAAGGGGCAACCCCGGUAAAGCGGCGCACGGGUGAGUAACACGUAGGUAAUCUACCCUCGGGUGGAGGAUAACUUUCCGAAAGGAAGGCUAAUACUGCAUGAGACCACGACCUCGAAAGGGGAUGGGGUCAAAGCCGGCCUCUGUACACAAGCUGGCGCCUGAGGAUGAGCCUGCGGCCCAUCAGCUAGUUGGUAGGGUAAUGGCCUACCAAGGCGAAGACGGGUAGCUGGUCUGAGAGGAUGAUCAGCCACACUGGAACUGAGACACGGUCCAGACUCUUACGGGAGGCAGCAGUGGGGAAUCUUGCGCAAUGGGCGAAAGCCUGACGCAGCGACGCCGCGUGAGUGAUGAAGGCCUUCGGGUUGUAAGACUCUGUGGAGAGGGACGGAA
rnacentral:rRNA from 1 species